AGUGAUCGCAAGUCGAACGAACUCUGGUAUUGAUUGGUGCUUGCAUCAUGAUUUACAUUUGAGUGAGUGGCGAACUGGUGAGUAACACGUGGGAAACCUGCCCAGAAGCGGGGGAUAACACCUGGAAACAGAUGCUAAUACCGCAUAACAACUUGGACCGCAUGGUCCGAGCUUGAAAGAUGGCUUCGGCUAUCACUUUUGGAUGGUCCCGCGGCGUAUUAGCUAGAUGGUGGGGUAACGGCUCACCAUGGCAAUGAUACGUAGCCGACCUGAGAGGGUAAUCGGCCACAUUGGGACUGAGACACGGCCCAAACUCCUACGGGAGGCAGCAGUAGGGAAUCUUCCACAAUGGACGAAAGUCUGAUGGAGCAACGCCGCGUGAGUGAAGAAGGGUUUCGGCUCGUAAAACUCUGUUGUUAAAGAAGAACAUAUCUGAGAGUAACUGUUCAGGUAUUGACGGUAUUUAACCAGAAAGCCACGGCUAACUACGUGCCAGCAGCCGCGGUAAUACGUAGGUGGCAAGCGUUGUCCGGAUUUAUUUGGGCGUAAAGCGAGCGCAGGCGGUUUUUUAAGUCUGAUGUGAAAGCCUUCGGCUCAACCCGAAGAAGUGCAUCGGAAACUGGGAAAACUUGAGUGCAGAAGAGGACAGUGGAACUCCAUGGUGUAGCGGUGAAAUGCGUAGAUAUAUGGAAGAACACCAGUGGCGAAGGCGGCUGUCUGGUCUGUAACUGACGCUGAGGCUCGAAAGUAUGGGUAGCAAACAGGAUUAGAUACCCUGGUAGUCCAUACCGUAAACGAUGAAUGCUAAGUGUUGGAGGGUUUCCGCCCUUCAGUGCUGCAGCUAACGCAUUAAGCAUUCCGCCUGGGGAGUACGGCCGCAAGGCUGAAACUCAAAGGAAUUGACGGGGGCCCGCACAAGCGGUGGAGCAUGUGGUUUAAUUCGAAGCUACGCGAAGAACCUUACCAGGUCUUGACAUACUAUGCAAAUCUAAGAGAUUAGACGUUCCCUUCGGGGACAUGGAUACAGGUGGUGCAUGGUUGUCGUCAGCUCGUGUCGUGAGAUGUUGGGUUAAGUCCCGCAACGAGCGCAACCCUUAUUAUCAGUUGCCAGCAUUAAGUUGGGCACUCUGGUGAGACUGCCGGUGACAAACCGGAGGAAGGUGGGGAUGACGUCAAAUCAUCAUGCCCCUUAUGACCUGGGCUACACACGUGCUACAAUGGAUGGUACAACGAGUUGCGAACUCGCGAGAGUAAGCUAAUCUCUUAAAGCCAUUCUCAGUUCGGAUUGUAGGCUGCAACUCGCCUACAUGAAGUCGGAAUCGCUAGUAAUCGCGGAUCAGCAUGCCGCGGUGAAUACGUUCCCGGGCCUUGUACACACCGCCCGUCACACCAUGAGAGUUUGUAACACCCAAAGUCGGUGGGGUAACCUCUUAGGAGUCCUGCCGCGG
rnacentral:rRNA from 1 species